rnacentral:rRNA from 1 species
CCUACGGGUGGCAGCAGUGAGGAAUAUUGGUCAAUGGACGGGAGCCUGAACCAGCCACGCCGCGUGAGGGAAGAAGGUACAGCGUAUCGUAAACCUCUUUUGUCAGGGAACAAAGACGGGGACUCGUCCCCGGAUGAGGGUACCUGACUACAAAGCAUCGGCUACCUCCGUGCCAGCAGCCGCGGUAAUACGGAGGAUGCGAGCGUUAUCCGGUUUUGUGGGGUUUAAGGGGUGCGCAGGCGGCCUGUGAAGUCCGCGGUAAAAGACCGGGGCUAAAACCCGUCGAGCAGUUGAAACUGGCGGGCUGGAGUUGGAGAGAAGUACGCGGAAUGCGUGGUGUAGCGGUGAAAUGCUUAGAUAUCGCGCAGAACCCCGAUUGCGAAGGCAGCGUACCGG